rnacentral:sRNA from 1 species
UUUCUGAGAGUAGCCCAGGGUGAAGCUGAACAUUUUUAAUACCAAUUCCAAAUGUUUGAAAGAAUCAGAUUGGUCCUUCUUGAAACAGUAGUUUAAUGAGAUCUAAUCAACUGGCUGGGAGCUAUGGCAUAUAAACACAGUUACCAGAAGCCCGCGCUAAUGGGCAAAGGAAGACAGUGAAGUUGUCAUGUGAGCUGGGAAGAAACCCAAAGAAAGUAUCUUCUAGACUCCAUCACUGUCCCUCUGCAGAAUACAAAGGCUUAGCGCAGAUAUGAAUGCUGAUGUGGUAUGUCACACUCUGGAGUUUUGUAAACAGAACACUGGCCAACCAUUGUGUCAUCUCUACCCUCUUCCCAAGGAGACAUGGAAAUUUACACUACAGAAGGCAAGACAAAUUGUCAAGAAGUCCCCAAUUCUGAAAUAUUCUAGAAGUGGUUCUGACAUUUGUUCACUCCCGGUUUUGGCCAAGAUCUGCCAGAAAAUUAAAUUAGCUAUAGAACAGUCUGUGCCAUUCAAAGAUGUGGAUUCAGACAAAUACAGCAUUUUCCCG